UCCGGUGUGGUGUAGUUGGUAAGCAUACUGGGUAUUUCCAAGCCCAAAGACCCAAGUUCGACCCUUGGCGCCGGAC